GAUGAACGCUGGCGGCGUGCCUAAUACAUGCAAGUCGAGCGACUGGAUUAAGAGCUUGCUCUUAUGAAGUUAGCGGCGGACGGGUGAGUAACACGUGGGUAACCUGCCCAUAAGACUGGGACAACUCCGGGAAACCGGGGCUAAUACCGGAUAACAUUUUGAACCGCAUGGUUCGAAAUUGAAAGGCGGCUUCGGCUGUCACUUAUGGAUGGACCCGCGUCGCAUUAGCUAGUUGGUGAGGUAACGGCUCACCAAGGCAACGAUGCGUAGCCGACCUGAGAGGGUGAUCGGCCACACUGGGACUGAGACACGGCCGAGACUCCUACGGGAGGCAGCAGUAGGGAAUCUUCCGCAAUGGACGAAAGUCUGACGGAGCAACGCCGCGUGAGUGAUGAAGGCUUUCGGGUCGUAAAACUCUGUUGUUAGGGAAGAACAAGUGCUAGUUGAAUAAGCUGGCACCUUGACGGUACCUAACCAGAAAGCCACGGCUAACUACGUGCCAGCAGCCGCGGUAA
rnacentral:rRNA from 1 species